UUUUAAAUAUAUCUUCGUAUAUUUCUUCACUAUUUAAAAAUAAUUUUAUUAUUAGUACCUGUUAAAUUAUCGUGUUAAAUCCGAAAUAAAUUUCUAUCAAAGCUAAAAAAAAAAAAAGUUAAUAUACUUAUUUUGUCUUUAACGUAAGGGCAAAUAAGAAAGUUAGUAACCGUAGAAAGUAUGUUUGAAAAUGCAAAAAAUUACCGACCGUCUCUAGAGCAAGUGGCAAAGGAUUAGGUGGUUGGUAUCCGAGACCUAAGUUCGAAUCCUAGUUGAUUCACAUUUCUAGCUAAGUUUAUUUCUAAAUGAAAUAAACGAAGUGGGUAACGCGCAAUCUAUCUCUCAAAAAAAGAAAAGGCAAAAAAUUAUCUAUUAAAAUACUUCUUUUGCCCUAUUUAAGAACAAAUAAAAAAAGUUGGUGGCGAUAGAGGAUUGUAUUUUAAAGGGCAAAAUAGUAAUUUUAUAGAGAUAACAUCGGUUUCUAACAGUUCACUAAUAGAAUUUAACUCUAUAAAAGUAUAUUUAAAAUAACUUGGAACGUUAAAAGGGUAAUUUUAUUAUUAGCCUUUUAAGAAAGUAAAUAAAAAAGUUGAAAACUUUUCAAGAGCACAUAAUCAAUUGCCCCUAAAAAGUAAGUAUAAACAUACCACUUCUUUUGCCCUAUUUAAGAACAAAUAAAAAAAGUUGGUGGCGAUAGAAGAGUGUAUUUUAAUGGGCAAAAUAUUAAUUUUAUAGAUGUAACAUCGGUUUCUAACAGUUCACUAAUAGAAUUUAACUCUAUAAAGGUAUAUUUAAAAUAACUUGGAACGUUAAAAGGGUAAUUUUAUUAUUAGCCUUUUAAGAGAGUAAAUAAAAAAGGUGAAAAUUUUUCAAGAGCACAUAAUCAAUUGCCCCUAAAAUGUAAGUAUAAACAUACCGAACUUAUUUGAACUAUGAGCCAUUUUUUAUCAAUUAUCUAACCUUUUAACAUUUGAUUCAAUAGCACUUUGAUUUCACAAUUUGAAUAAUUGGAUAGUAAAAUCAAAAUUUUGAAAAAUUAGGUAGCCAGUUCAAAAUGGUCCAAAAUUCAGGUAAGUGUUAUUU
rnacentral:lncRNA from 1 species